UACAGAAUACAUAUCGAAACAUGUCUCUUCCAGGUAUCAGGAAUUAGUCGAAGAAAAGAAAUAAAGUUGUGCGGUUACGCAGACAAAUUAUUGUACCAAGCAAAUUGAAAUGAACAGAAUCUCAAUUAAUAGUGAAUCGAUAGAGAGAAACUAGUACAGUCUUUAGAGGGUGAUCCGUGCGACAAACGUUAAAAAAGGGAGAAGCAUUGAAUAAUGUAUAAGUGUAUUUUAUCAAUGUAAUAUCUGCAAACAGAACUUCUGUCUGAAGAUGGAUAUGACAAAGCAACAUCUCGACAUGGUCGAACGUAGUACAAAUAAAUGCAGCAAUUACAACUGCGAUACGGAUGAUAUGUCGCUGAAGAGCAUACAACGUCUUCAACCUAACAAACAAGAAGGAACCAAUAUUAUACAGCCAGGACCGUCGUUGGAGAAUAAUUUGUGUGGCAAAGAUUCUACCAAGGAGAGCAGCACUAAAAAGUACAAAAGAAUUCCAAUACAAUGCGAUAUUUGCAAACAAAUCUUUCGCAGAAAACAAGAGUUGAUAGAUCAUUGCGAGAAGGUUCAUAAACGUAGCAUCUACAAAUGUAAACAUUGCGACUACGAAACCAACUGUAAGAGUAACUUCAAAAGACACGAGAAAACACACGUAAGAAAACGUGCGACUAAUAGCGGAGACUACGUGUGUACUGAGCCCGGCUGUAACAAGAUAUAUAAGAAUAAGUAUGAUUUCAAGUGCCACAUAAAGAUUUGUCAGUACAAAAAUAAGAUGAAAAGCAAUAAUAUGGGACCGGGACCGUCCUCAGAGAGUAAUCUAUACUUCAGAAAAAAAAAUGAAAUGUACAAACUUUCUAAACAAUGCAGAAUUUGUGGUCAAAUUUUCUGUAAUAAGAAAAUGUUAGUAGAUCACUCAAUGAAGGUUCACCAACAUUGCGUGCACAUAUGUGAAGACGAAACAUGCAGUUACGAAACCAACAACCUGCGAAACAUGCAAAAGCACUUUAUAAGAAUGCACAUGAAUAAUAAAAACUAAGUAUGUAGUGGGACUGGCUGUAACUGGGUGAGAAAAGAUCGGGUGUAGCUAAGGCAACACGUUCACCCUGACAAAUAAAACAAGACGACGCGUUCACUCUGACAAAUAAAAGAAAAGCAGUAUUGAGGACCCACGGCCGUCUUCAGAGAGCGACAUGUACGGCAAACAUUUCAGAAGAAGCCCCAGCAUUGAAAAGCCUAUAAAUAUGCCUCAUAAAUACAAAAUCUGCAACGGAAUGUCUCUUUCUAAGUAAUAGUUGGAAAAAAUACCUCUUUACAAAUAGAUCUUUACAAACAAUCCAUAUGCAACUGCAGCCAUGGUUAACUACGUAUUUAACAAGGAGAAUAACUUGCAAAGACACAUUGCACGAAAUCACACGGAUAAUUAUGAUGAAGUGUGUACUGAGCCUGUCUGUGGAAAUAUAAAUAGUUAGCGGAUCUGAAGACGCACAUACAAUCGUCCUAUCAACCAGAAGAAAAGCAAAAAUGAGGACUCGGGGCAGUCUUCCGAGAACGACUGUGCGGCAAACAUUCCAAAAAAGGGAGCAGCAUCGAAAAGCGCAUAAAUGUGCCUCAGCAGUGCAAACUUGCAACCAAGGUUUCGAUAGGAAGAGAAAGUCGACAGAUCACCUCCGAAAAAAUCAAAGGUUAUCGCAUGUACAACUGCAACGAUUGCAAUUAUAUAUCUAACGAGAAUGAACAUUUGAAAUAUCAUGUUGCAUGAAAGCACAUGGACAAUUAUGACUACAUGCGUGACAAGGAAAGCUGCUACAAGAAAUUCAAACUCGAGGAGGAACUGAAGAAACAGCGCGGAAAGCACAAGAACGUGCGUUCUUCGAGGUACCCCCUGACAGGUAGAACAUUGGCGGAAAAAAGUGCGCGAUCAACUAUGCGAAAAUUCGAGUGAAUUCCUUGCAGCAUUCCAAGAACUUUUUGUCUUUUGCAAUUUCCCCCUAAACC
rnacentral:misc_RNA from 1 species